rnacentral:tRNA from 1 species
GGUUCCAUAGUGUAGCGGUUAGCACGUCUGCUUUACACGCAGAAGGUCCUGGGUUCGUGCCCCAGUGCGAGCCA